rnacentral:lncRNA from 1 species
CUAGGAUUGCUAUCUUCAAAACUUGAGUUUAUUAGAAACUGAACCCUCCCCUAAUACCUCUAGCCAAUAUAGAAAAAACACACAACAAUACGCGCAGUAAAAAAAAACAAUUAAAAAAAGUCCAAAUCAUAUGUCAGAAUAGAAAAAAGUAAAAUCACAAAAAUACUAAACUCCGAGGAAAAUUCAAUCGGAAAGUCCCUUAUCACAUGGUAAAAUCAAAUGACAAAACACAUCAAGAACGAAUGGACAACAACUGCCAUAUUCCAGACUUGGUACAGGCAAUUUUAAAUGUAGAAAAUGGUGGAUUGAAAUAGGUAAAAACAAAACAAAAACUGAACAAAAUGACAAUAAUACAUAAAUUAGCAAAGGACUACUAGCAGUUAUUGACAUGCUAGCUCCAGACCUCAAUUAAAUUGAUUGAAAGAGUAUUAUCUUCAUCUUAGUAUGAUGAAAAUCAAAUAUGAUUCUGAUCAAGUUCAUUAAAUUUGGUAUUCAGUCUACAGUUUCACUGUUAUACUUAUCAAAACUGUAUGCACAGGUUUUUUUGUUAUUACACUGUUUUGAUUUAGAAGUAAAAACGAUUUGUUUAGAAAAUACAAAACAUUACACCAUUCCUUACAUAACAGUCUUGUAAUGGUUACAACAUACAUAAAAUAACAACAUCACAAGCUUAAUCUGUUUGUAGAAACUUACCUGUGACAUCAUUUUUUGUGACCAUGAUACAUUCGUAUGACGAACUGUUGACUGUCAUCAAAGUGAGAGGGUUAGCGCUAUUAAACCGGGUUUAAUCCACCAUUUUCUACAUUUGAAAGUGCCUGUACCAAGUCAGGGAUAUGACAGUUCUUGUCCAUUCGUUUUGAUGCGUUUUGUUAUUUGAUUUUGCCAUGAAAUUAUGAACUUUCCGAAUUGAUUUUCCUCUAAGUUCAGUAUUUUUGUGAUCUUACUUUUUGAACAUUCUAUUGUGGUAUACUUUAGAUUUUAAUAUUAAAUUAUAGACUCUCGGUUUGAAUUUUCCUCGCAAUUAUGUAUUUUAGUUAUUUUAAUUUUUCAAAGUUAUUUUGUUUAAAAUUCUAAUAAAUGCAUAUUUUUCGUAUGAAUACAAUAUUGCAUGAGACGUCUUCUGCUAAACAACAGCGUAUUUGUUACAUAAUGAGCCUCAAUGAAAUUCCGGAUUCUUAAGAAUGUGAGAAAGCAAUGUGUUCGUAGUUCUCUCCUGAUUGAUUGACAGAAAGCAAUGUGUUCGUAGUUCACUCGUGAUUGAUUGACAGCUCCCCUGAUUGAUUGACAGAAAGCAAUGUGUUCGUAGUUCUCUCGUGAUUGAUUGACAGAAAGCAAUGUGUUCUUAGUUCUCUCGUGAUUGAUUGACAGAAAGCAAUGUGUUCGUAGUUCACUCCUGAUUGAUUGACAGAAAGCAAUGUGUUCGUAGUUCUCUCGUGAUUGAUUGACAGAAAGCAAUGUGUUCGUAGUUCUCCCCUGAUUGAUUGACAGAAAGCAAUGUGUUCGUAGUUCUCUCGUGAUUGAUUGACAGAAGCAUGUGUUCGUAGUUUCUCUCUGAUUGAUUGACAGAAAGCAUGUGUUCGUAGAUUCUCUCCUGAUUGAUUGACAGAAAGCAAUGUGUUCGUAGUUCUCUCGUAAUUGAUUGACAGAAAGCAAUGUGUUCGUAGUUCUCUCGUAAUUGAUUGACAGAAAGCAAUGUGUUCGUAGUUCUCUCGUGAUUUGAUGACAGAAAGCAAUGUGUUCGUAGUUCUCUUCUGAUUGAUUGACAGAAAGCAAUGUGUUCGUAGUUCUCUCCUGAUUGAUUGACAGAAAGCAAUGUGUUCGUAGUUCUCUCGUAAUUGAUUGACAGAAGCUAUUGUGUUCGUAGUUCUC